AUUGAACGCUGGCGGCAUGCCUUACACAUGCAAGCCGAACGGCAGCACGGGUGCUUGCACCUGGUGGCGAGUGGCGAACGGGUGAGUAAUACAUCGGAACAUGUCCUGUAGUGGGGGAUAGCCCGGCGAAAGCCGGAUUAAUACCGCAUACGAUCUACGGAUGAAAGCGGGGGACCUUCGGGCCUCGCGCUAUCGGGUUGGCCGAUGGCUGAUUAGCUAGUUGGUGGGGUAAAGGCCUACCAAGGCGACGAUCAGUAGCUGGUCUGAGAGGACGACCAGCCACACUGGGACUGAGACACGGCCCAGACUCCUACGGGAGGCAGCAGUGGGGAAUUUUGGACAAUGGGCGAAAGCCUGAUCCAGCAAUGCCGCGUGUGUGAAGAAGGCCUUCGGGUUGUAAAGCACUUUUGUCCGGAAAGAAAUCCUUGGCCCUAAUACAGUCGGGGGAUGACGGUACCGGAAGAAUAAGCACCGGCUAACUACGUG
rnacentral:rRNA from 1 species